rnacentral:rRNA from 1 species
UACAGAGGGUGCGAGCGUUAAUCGGAAUUACUGGGCGUAAAGCGCGCGUAGGCGGCUUUGCAAGUCGGGUGUGAAAUCCCCAGGCUUAACCUGGGAACUGCAUUCGAGACUGCAUUGCUAGAGUAUGGGAGAGGGAAGUGGAAUUUCAGGUGUAGCGGUGAAAUGCGUAGAUAUCUGAAGGAACAUCGAGUGGCGAAAGCGACUUCCUGGAGCCAAGUACUGACGCGAUCAUGGUGCGAAAGCGUGGGGAGCAA